CACGUAGGGGGCGAGCGUUUGUCCGGAUUUAUUGGGCGUAAAGAGCUCGUAGGCGGCUUGGUAAGUCAGGUGUGAAACCUCCAGGCUCAACCUGGAGACGCCACUUGAUACUGCCAUGCUAGAGUCCGGGUAGGGGAGCGUGGAAUUUCUGGGUGUAGCGGUGAAAUGCGCAGAUAUCAGAAGGAACACCAGCGGCGAAGGCGGCGCUCUGGGCCGGAACUGACGCUGAGGAGCGAAAGCGUGGUAGC
rnacentral:rRNA from 1 species